rnacentral:rRNA from 1 species
UACGAAGGGGCUAGCGUUGCUCGGAAUCACUGGGCGUAAAGAGCUCGUAGGCGGCUUGUCGCGUCGACCGUGAAAACUUGGGGCUCAACCCCAAGCCUGCGGUCGGAUACGGGCAGGCUCGAGUUCGGUAGGGGAGACUGGAAUUCCUGGUGUAGCGGUGAAAUGCGCAGAUAUCAGGAGGAACACCGAUGGCGAAGGCAGGUCUCUGGGCAUUAACUGACGCUGAGGAGCGAAAGCAUGGGGAGCGAACAGG